rnacentral:rRNA from 1 species
UACGUAGGUGGCGAGCGUUGUCCGGAUUUACUGGGCGUAAAGGGAACGUAGGCGGACUUUUAAGUGAGAUGUGAAAUACUCGGGCUCAACUUGAGUGCUGCAUUUCAAACUGGAAGUCUAGAGUGCAGGAGAGGAGAAUGGAAUUCCUAGUGUAGCGGUGAAAUGCGUAGAGAUUAGGAAGAACACCAGUGGCGAAGGCGAUUCUCUGGACUGUAACUGACGCUGAGGCUCGAAAGCGUGGGGAGCAAACAGG